UUAUCACCGCACCUGGCCGCCUCACCUGGUCGCCUUUUUUUAGCUGGGUCGUGCAGCUCGCCGUUGUUUGGUAUGUAGUAGUUGUUUGCGUCUGUGUACCUUCUAAACUUUGCACAAGUCCUCAACACUGGCUUCCAUCCCUCAGGCAGUUCCGGGUCUUCCUUCUCCCGUAUCGGCCCCAAUUGUAGGGCAUGCGAGUGUUUUCCUCCUCUGCCGGUUGCAGCGGGGAGCGAUCAGCUGAUCGAUCGAGUUGCACGUAAUUGUGCUGCUCGAUGCAAGCGAUCCCCUUCCUCCCCUUUGAUGUUCAUUCAACUCCUGACGGGUUGACGUGUGUGUGGGCGGUUUCUGCCAGCACGUUUUUCCCCCCCUCUUCACGCUGCUGUUGGCCGGCUGCUGUUUUGCCCACUGGCUUAUAUAGCCAACACAUCCAUCCUACUCUGCAUCUCCUACUGUGCUGUACCUACCAUCGAGUAUGGUGACUGCUGCCUCAUCUUCAGUCUCAUCUUAAUCUAUUCAGUUAACCGACUUCUAACUGAUCUUAUUGAUGAUAUUAUUUGUGUUUUGUGGUUUGCUUUGCAUGUUUUUGGUUUAAUCCGUUUUCUUAGUUAUUUUGGUUUGGCUUAAUUGCUUUACCUAUUUAUUUGGAUUUAUCAGUUUGGAUAAAUCUCCAUUACUUUUGAUUUAAUUUCUUUGUUAGUUUUCUUUUGUUUGCAUUUAUUGAGUUUAUUUGCCCUCCCUUAUUUGUAUUUUGUGUGUGUGUGUGUGUGUUCGCUUUAGUGUGGUUGGGUGAACAUAUUUUAUUGCGAAGUCAUGUUUAAAGACUGUAUAUAUUAAUUAAAAGGAAUUGAAAUUGUAUGUUG